rnacentral:rRNA from 1 species
CGAGAGGUCCAAACGUUAUUCGGAAUCACUGGGCUUACAGAGUUCGUAGGCGGUACGGAAAGUGGGGUGUGAAAGCCCUCGGCUCAACCGAGGAACUGCGCUCCAAACUACCGUGCUGGAGGAAGAUAGAGGUGAGCAGAACUGAGUGGUGGAGCGGUGAAAUGCGUUGAUAUCAUCAGGAAUACCGGAGGCGAAGGCGGCUCACUGGGUCUUUUCUGACGCUGAGGAACGAAAGCUAGGGGAGCAAACGGGAUUAGAUACCCCGGUAGUCCUAGCCGUAAACGAUGAGCACUGGGCCGGAGCUCUGCACAGGGUCUCGGCCGUAGCGAAAGUGUUAAGUGCUCCGCCUGGGGAGUAUGGUCGCAAGGCUAG